rnacentral:lncRNA from 1 species
GCCAUCCCACAUGGAGAGGAAGGCGGGAGAGGAGAACGCUCCUGCGUGCUACGGAAUUCAUCAGGGAAGUGUAGAACUGGAAGUUGCACCAGGUGUCUCUUAAGAAGUUCUCAGUCAGUAACAAGAUCGUCCAGGCGGACCCAUUUACCGCAUCGUCUAGAUUCUGCAAGUGCAGUCUUCCGCAUGGCAUCUCGGCGAAGACUAUCCCAGGCCUGAUACCAAAGUCGUUUUGCAGUAGAUUCUGGACUCGGAGGGCCUCGUUGGUGUCAUCUUCUGCGUGCAGUAUCACAAAUUUGAGGAACUCUUCUUCAGCUUGCUCCUCAUGCCCCUCCCCCUUUGCCUCGGGUCUGUCCUGCUCCCCUAUUGGCUGUUCUACUCCAUUGCUAUGCACCACAAAAGCAGGCGAGGACGCAUUCUCAGAGUUCUUGGAGUCUGACUCAUGGCAGCCUUGAUCGCCAUCCACACUGUCUCUUUUAUGCCAAGAAAGAGGGCACUUAUCUAGUUUAGACUUCCCAACACCCAUGA